rnacentral:rRNA from 1 species
AUGGAAACGAGAUCGGGGCGUCGCCUCAGCUCGCCUCCGCCGCCGCAUGUAGCUUGCCACGGCCGUGGUCCACGAGAUGCCGACCUAAUCGGCGCCCUCCCCGAUGAUAUCCUCCUCCUGGUGCUGGUGCGCUUACGCUGCGUCCGCGCCGCCGCGCGCACUGGGCUCCUCUCGCGCCGGUGGCGCGGCCUCUGGACCUACCUCCCGGAUCUCACCUUCCGCGGCGUCCCGCCCGCCAAGGUCGAAUCGGCGCUCGCCAGUUUCGCUGCUUCGCCGGCGGUGUCCCUCCUCGACAUCUGCAUCCGGGUGGGACAUACAGCCGCCCAAGCCAACUCGUUGCUGCGCGCCGCCGCUAUAGUCUCUCCAGCGGAGCUAUUCUUCGACUUCCCGGGGUCUAGUAAGUUAGUUUUGAGCCACAUGGACCGCAUCGAGCUGCCCUGCUUCGACCGCACCAUAUCGAUCAAGCUGGAGACCUGGCUCUGCGUCAUGCCGCCGCCGGCCGGCGAGUUCACUGCGCUGGAGAGGCUGUCCCUCAAAGCCUGCAUCCUGGACCUUGGGACCUUUACGCCACACUGUGGCGGCACACGGUGGUGUCUCGGUGUCCCUACUCGGCAUCCACCUCUGUAG